CCUGGCUCAGAUUGAACGCUGGCGGCAUGCUUUACACAUGCAAGUCGAACGGCAGCGGGGGCUUCGGCCUGCCGGCGAGUGGCGAACGGGUGAGUAAUGCAUCGGAACGUGCCCAUGUCGUGGGGGAUAACGUAGCGAAAGCUACGCUAAUACCGCAUACGCCCUGAGGGGGAAAGCGGGGGAUUCUUCGGAACCUCGCGCGAUUGGAGCGGCCGAUGUCGGAUUAGCUAGUAGGUGAGGUAAAGGCUCACCUAGGCGACGAUCCGUAGCGGGUCUGAGAGGAUGAUCCGCCACACUGGGACUGAGACACGGCCCAGACUCCUACGGGAGGCAGCAGUGAGGAAUUUUGGACAAUGGGCGCAAGCCUGAUCCAGCCAUGCCGCGUGAGUGAAGAAGGCCUUCGGGUUGUAAAGCUCUCUCGGCCGGGAAGAAAUCGUGGUCUCUAACAUAGGCCAUGGAUGACGGUACCGGACUAAGAAGCACCGGCUAACUACGUG
rnacentral:rRNA from 1 species